GAGUUUGAUUCUGGCUCAGGAGGAACGCUGGCGGCGUGCCUAACACAUGCAAGUCGAGCGAGAAAUAGUCAGACGGAGAUUUCGGUUGAAGGAUGGUUAUGGAAAGCGGCGGACGGGUGAGUAACGCGUAGGCAACCUGCCUCAUGCAGAGGGAUAGCCUCGGGAAACCGGGAUUAAAACCUCAUAAGGCCAAGGGGACACAUGUUUUCGUGGUCAAAGAUUUAUCGGCAUGAGAUGGGCCUGCGUCUGAUUAGCUGGUUGGUGAGGUAACGGCUCACCAAGGCGACGAUCAGUAGCCGACCUGAGAGGGUAAACGGCCACAUUGGAACUGAGACACGGUCCAAACUCCUACGGGAGGCAGCAGUGGGGAAUAUUGCACAAUGGGCGAAAGCCUGAUGCAGCAACGCCGCGUGAGCGAAGAAGGCCUUUGGGUCGUAAAGCUCUGUCGAUAGGGAAGAAAAAGAUGACGNACCNUCAGAG
rnacentral:rRNA from 1 species